GGUUGCGAUCAUACCAGCACUAAUGCACCGGAUCCCAUCAGAACUCCGCAGUUAAGCGUGCUUAGGCGAGAGUAGUACUAGGAUGGGUGACCCCCUGGGAAGUCCUCGUGUUGCAACCCC
rnacentral:rRNA from 1 species